UAAUGGCUGAUAUAUUUAUAUGAAUUUUGGUGGAUCUGCUGAGGUCCAGAAAAUAAUCAAUGCGGACUGUGUUUGUUCGAACGUUGAUAAAUGAUCCAGGAAGAAUUGCCCUGGGUCUGUGUCUGUGUGUGUGUGUUGUUCAGUGACAACAUGCACAGUUUAAAAUUGGGCGCUGUUCCUUCCUCUUUUUGGUUUCAAAACACAAAGGCUGUUGGAUGAAGAAUUACUGUGUGAGGAACGGCUUCACUUUUGAUUAGGGAAAUAAUAUGCUUACUUUUGGGUUUAUGAAGAUCUCGUAACAAUCUGGGGGAGAUGCCGGGGUAAAAAGAGUGAGCUCGGACGAAGGGGUCCGAGAAAAGAACACCGUGAGUUGAGCAAGGUGUUUUAACUGACUCAGGAUUUCAGAGAAUCGAGUCAGCUGUGAUCUUGAGUUUUAAGGGCCUGCAAAAGAGUGGAUAACAGCGCUGAAAAUUCUCGGUGACCUUUUCCAGAUUACAAUGGGCAGAGGAGAAGGCUAAGUCUCUGUCUAAAAGGAUUGCCGCGAGCCAAUCCAGUCUAAAAGCAGAAAGAACUAUUUUCCUAAAAACAAAGUAAAACAAAUAAAUGAGUUGAUGUUGCUGAGAGUGAAGACUGAAUAUUUGCGAGAUAGUCUCCACUGUCAGCAAUACCUGAUGUUAAUGUAUGUGAGUGAAUGUGUGUAAAUGGAUGGUGACUGGACGGACGAGGCAGACCAUAGGUUGGACCGACUGGACACUGAGAUAAAGACUGGACUAAGGUUAGACACAUGACUGAUAACUGUUCUGUUUUAAGUUUCCUUUCUUAUAACACAGGUUGGAUCAUAAGUGGGGAAAAACUGAGUAUGAAAUGUGAAGUUCUGGUUAACAUACAGGUUUUUGUUUCUAGGAAGUUCCAAGGAUGCAGGCUGUGGAUGGAGCCAAGAAAAGAUUGGACAUAAUGAUUAAUUUGAUUUCAUUCCUUAAACACAGGUUUGAAGGGCCGGAGCAUGAAUAUCUAAUAUGAUAUGACUAACCUUUUUCUUUUAAUCUCCUAAGCUCGAGUGAAGGAUUUUGAGUUUGUAACACAUAAGAUGUGUCACAAAAGGGGGGAGUUAUAGGAUUUAAGGUUUAAUUUGAAAUGGGUUUUAGGAUCGUUUUAUGACGUUUGGGGUUUUUGAUAAUUUAGAUAUAGAAAUUGUUUUGUGGUUCUUUUUGAUCUGUUUCUAUGCUCAGAUGGUGAUGGUUUAUAUCUUACCCUGGGCGUGUUUAAUAAAACUAAAAGUGUUGCUCACACACAUGAAGGGCAUGGAGAUUAAGUAAAGUUAAUAUAAAGGACAGAGCCCAGAACAUGAUAUGGUGAAACAACUUUGAAUGAUUAAAGGAACCUUAGAUGAACACAGUAGAUUAGUGAGGUGUAGCAGAGAGAGGCUGUUUGUUUUCUAUCCUUUACAGGAGAAGAGUUCAGGACCACAGCGACCACAGGGGUGGCAAGAAUCCUGGAAGCCUGAGAUCGAACGGAACCAACCAGAGAAAGGAGAGAAACAGAGCACAAAGACACCUAGUUGUUUAUAUUACAAAGAAGAUCAAAAGCUUGUUAGACAUAGGUUAUAAUGGAAGCAUAAAAGGGAUGAGAGGAACUUUACAUAACAUAGAAAUCCUGCAACAAUUAAGUAAAUUGCCCAAACACAGUGUUCAGACCGGAUAUGCGCUACCCGUUAAAGGGGGCAAAGAAAUCAGGCCUAAGUUUGAAAAAUGAAAUGGGUUAACUCGAUAGAGGAUGUUUCCAAAGGUCGAGAAAAUAAUGUAGGACCUUUUACCAGGAGAAAGCUAAUUGUAUCUUUUACACUUUACAGUGUGCACUGAGGGAAGUCAGGAAUAGUUUAAAUUAGGAUUGAAAAAAAAAAUUAAACUAGGUGAAAAGGGGGUGUAGCAAGUAGAUUUAGGGCAGCUCACAGCCUGGCGUAAACGCAAGGUGUCGUCACACAGCUUAAGUUAUUUGUUUGAUUUAUUUUAAACAUUGAAAACAUACAACCCGUUGAGGAGACAGAUAGGGUUGGGGAAUUGAAAGGUUUUGUUUGUUUAGCAUAAUUUCUUUUGUUAUAUUUUAGCUUUAACAGGGAACAUGCCUCUCUGGAGCUUCUCUCCUGAUGCUACCCUGCCAAAGACCCUUAUCCAUAGAGACUAUGUCAGCUCCCAAACAGACAGCAACAAACCAAAUCUAGCAAUAAAACAACUUAAACAUCAAUAGUAACAAAGCAAGAACAAUACAGAAUCCACAUCUGAACCGAAGAAUAAAACAGUGAAAUGUGGAUUAUUAAAUAUUAGGUCUCUCUCUUCAAAGCCUCUGUUGGCUCACGCUGAGCGGUCGCAGCAGAUGGCUGCCCGUACCUGAGCGUGGUUCUGCUGGAGGUUUCUUCCUGUUAAAAGGGAGUUUUUCCUUCCCACUGUUGCCAAAGUGCUUGCUCAUAGGGGGUCACAAGAUUGUUGGGUUUUUCUCUGUAUCUAUGAAGCGCCUGGAGCCAAUUUUUGUUGUGAUUUAGCGCUAUAUAAAUAAAAUUCAAUUGAAUUGUAUUGAAGUAAACUUAAUGUGAUAAAUUAGGAAUUAGUUCAUUUCUCAAGUGAAAAAUGAAAAAGGGGGACUGGUGUUAGGAAUAAAAGAAAUAUUUUUAAUGUGUAUCUGUUCAUUAUCCUGUUUUAUGUACUUUAAUAAUGAAGGCUUGUAGAGCAAGGCCACCUUUGACUUACAAACAAGAAGCUCAGCCAGACUGAAAAACAGGAAGUUUUAGUGCACAAGGCAUAUUAAUAGAUAUAGACACAAAAAAGAGGAACUCCCCAUAUAAACAACGUUCAAGCCUGUGUGACGUGUAAAGUACCGAAAUAACACCAUAUAAGUCACAGCUGAUGAUUCUAAUGUUAGAGAGCUCUUGCAACUGGCGUUUGAGCUGUGCAGAGGUCUCUCACCCCCAGAAGAUGAUUGAAUAAAGAAAGACAGGUACUUAUCUAUGUCAGCAUAAGGUGGAGUCCAACAGAAGCAAGGCACCCUACAUGCGCACAGCAUGCAGCAGGGGUUGCCAAAAUAAUAUAGAAAACAGCACAUGCAGUGAGAGAACACCCACUAAAAGUUCUGAUUACACAUAGUGUGGUGGCAUAUGUGAACUCGCAGGCGUUCAACUAUGACAUCAUUAGCACAACAGAGACUGAGUAAAGUUUUAGAUGCUCCAAAUCUGACAUUUACACAUGAAGGAAUCAAUAUGGCAGAUUUAAUGGGAUCAGGAGAACCUCAUGAUUGUACUAAGAAAGCAGAAGUUGAAGGGAAAGUCAGGGAAGAUUUAAAAGCAGAACCUAUCCCUGGAGCUGAGGAUUGGUUCAUAGAUGGCUGCUGUCAUCGUGAUGAAGAAGGAUCGAAAGCAGGCUAUGCUAUAGUCUGCAAACAAGGAACUGAAUUUGAGCCCACGAGGAACUCCAGCAGUGGAAGGAGCCACGCUGGACUGGUCCUUAUGAGGUCGUUGCCAGAACAACUAUAGCAGGUCAACUAAAAGGGAAAGGCGAUGCCUGGUAUCAUUGGUCGCAGUGUGCGCCAGCACAUGAGAGCUUGCUAGAGGAAAACUCCUCUUCAACUAACACAGGUGUCAACGAUAACGAGCAGAGGCAAAAUAAAUCCUCUCACCUGUGCAACGGGCCAACCAGUAGUCUACCUGGGAGGCCGAAGAGAGAAGAGGAGCAGCGCAGAAGGUCGCCACGCCAGCAGAAAGGAGCGGUGACAAGUUGAGGACUCCACAAAAGCAGGGGAGUUUCAUUCCAGGAUAUAAAGUUUAUGUAACAUGAUGCAAACACACGAGUCAGAGACACGUAAUGAGAAAACUGAUUAGAAUGUUCCUUACAACUACAUGUUUAUUGUAUGCAAUGAUAUUAACUAUGGCUGUGUUGUUUAUUGUCUAUAUUUUGCAGGGCACUCUGGACCACUUGUCUGAACACGGAGGCCAGUCCAGCCCAGCACUUCCUGAGACUGUAGUUGCUAAAACGGGAUCGGUAAAAAACACAAAAGCGCCAGGUGUCAGGUAAAGGUGAUGAGUGUCUCAGCAUGAAUAAUGGCAUAGAGUUGAAUUAUGUUAAAGGGUCUACCCGCUCAUUCACAUUUGAUUUGUGUGACGUUAUUAAGUGUACAGGAGCUAGUAGUAGCUGGAGAGCGUAUGAUGUAUGGGUCUGCAAUCACCCCAUGAUAUGCUUAGGGCAAAUUUAGUUGAUGCAAAGUCUAAGCCGCUCGCAGAAAGCUU
ensembl:lncRNA